GAUUUCUGGCUUGAAACACUAAGCCGGCCACGGUUUCGUGUGUUAGUGCUUGGUGUUCUGGCCAUCCUUCCAAUCGCCAUCUACUUCUCUUCAUUGAUUAGUAGGUGGUAUUGGAUCUUUUACUUUGAAAAAAUUAGAGUGUUUCAAGCAGGCUAUUGCUAUGAAUACAUUAGCAUGGAAUAAUAAUCUAGGACUUUCGGUUCUAUUUUGUUGGUGUUCUGGAGCUGAAGUAAUGAUUGAUAGGGAUAGUUGGGGGUGCUAGUAUUCAAUGGCCAGAGGUGAAAUUCUCGGAUUCCUUGAAGACUAACUUAUGCGAAAGCAUU
rnacentral:rRNA from 1 species